CAGAAGAAGUUUAAAGUUGUUCGUGUGUCUUGAUGCUGCGCCAGCACCUUGACUCAGCUCCAUCCAUCCAGAGGUUUCAUACGCACUUCUUUUUCCCUCCCGAUGUAAACAAACCACCACUCAGCARUACUGUUCUUUAACACAAGAUGGCGCAUUUCUGCAGGUUUGUACAGGAUGCAAGAAAGUUACACAAAAACUGACUUAAUGAAAUGAGUCAGUUGGAUACAGWGCUACAAAGUAGACCGAGACCAAUCACCGGAAAAGGGGCACCCCUGACCCACUUACGUUGGGAGCAAAAAAGCAAAUCGUCCAAUCAAGGUAAGGCAGCAAUCACAUCAGCCGCAGUCUGAAUGCUUAAAAUAACCACUGCCAACACAGACUAUUUAUAAGAAGGGAACACAAUCCUGUUUAAAGACAACACAACUUCCCACUUUCCAUAUGAAUCUGUUAAGUUUUCCUUCAUCUAUUCAUCACGGUUCGUUGCAAAAAUAGACAUCACCCUAUAGCUUUUUACAACUGGUCACAUUACAGCCAGAAAAUGUAUUUUAUUGGUAUUUUAUGUAACCAACACAAAGUGGUACAUAUAUGUCCAUUGUAAUAAUUAAUUAUAUUCAAUACCCCUGACUCUGAUACUAUUAAAUAAAACCCAGUGCAACCAAUUCAGAAGCCACAUAAUUAGUAAAUAUGUGAAACUUAGCAUCAGUAUGAAAAUGGGCAGAGAUCCAAAGUUCAGGUGGGUUUAUGGAAAAGUUCCUGAAAAGAAGGAUGGAUUUACAUGUGCGGUAAUUUUGAAAUAAAACCUAUAGAGACUGCAAAAGACUUAAUCUUUCAGCAACUAGAAAGUAAAGGUGAGCAUUUAUUAUUUAUCGAGAUAGACGUCUUAUGAUAAUAAGAAUUUUUAUUUAUUGUUGUCGUGAUAAAUUCCUAUUAAUGGUGUUUAAAACUCUAAAAACUCUCCGGAUUGUUACUUUAUCUAUUUUCUCCACUGUUUGUUCAAUGAGAGUUGAAAAAUUUCAUAAUUUCAUACAUAACAAUGAAAUUUGAAUAAUUUAUUAUUAAAUGCACUAAAAAUAUAUGACCUAUGUCCUAAGGCAUAUUACAAGCGUAUUACAAAUUAGUAUGUUUUUCAAAAGCAGUAUUUGAGUUUGUUGGGUUAUAAUUGCUGUGUCAGCGAUACGGUUACCUAAAAUAGAAGUAAUAAAUAGUUCAUAUCGUCACUUGUAUUGUUAUCACAAAAGUACCACAGAAUGUAAGAAACGUUUAACUUUUUUCUUGCCUGAAAGUAGCUGAAACUAAAGGGGAAUUGAGUUUUUUCUUUUUAUUACAGUACUGGGUGAAACUGUGCUGCGUUUUCUUUAGGGAUAAACUAUGGUAGGUUGCACUGAAGAGGAAGCCCAUGUGGUUGGUCGAAUCAUGGAAGUGUCAGACAUGCAUGCCUCAUGUGAUGUGAUGUACUUUCCUAUGGAAGUAAAAUCAACAAAGAGUUUGUCUGAGCAUAACGCUGAAAGCGACGUACCUGUGACAGUAACAUGAAAACCAGGUACAGAUUGAGUCGGAUCCACAUCAGGCGGUAUUAAAAACAAUAUCUGAGCGCUUAUGCAACUGAUAAACACGCUGGUGAUGGUGUGCCUUUAAAACCAGUGGGUUGUCAGGUGAUCAAGGCGGCUCAGACACAGGAGCCUGAGUGCGUCUGUAGCCGGGAGCAGAGUGCCAGAGAGGAGAGCAGCCGAGAGGGAGAGACCUGUUAAGAAAGGGACAUGGGGGGGGAGAUGAGGACUCAGCCACAUCACAGAGUGGGGGGCCAGAGACUCGUGGUGGUAGGGUCCCUUUAACUGCAGUCUGCUCGUGCUCACUUGCCUUGUGUGACAGCUAGCAAGUAUGUUUCUGGCUCAGCUUGAUCAAGAAGCUGCGUUUGUGUAAGCCACAACAGUGGCAUAAAAAAAAAGCAGAGAAUUAAGUGCUGCGUCACACUCAGGAAGAGAAAUAGUGUGAUCAUGCGCGCGUGUGCACAGCUGCGUGUGCGUUGGUGUGAGCGCGCACGUACGUACGCAUUUGAGUAGACUCUGUUGUGUUUGUCUGGCAGUGGGUAUAUGUGUGUGUGCGCGUGAGUGCGUGUGUGUGUGUGUGCGUGAGUUAGACGUAGCAAUCUAAUAGCAGUUCUGCUGUUGCAACAAGAUGGAAAUAAAAGGAGUGUGUGUGCUUUUCAGUGGUGAGCAGAAAGGAAGCGAAGGGGAGAUACGGAGAGCGAGGGAGAGCAACUCCGAGUCAGUGCAAGAGAGUGAUUUCGGAUUAGUUGCUACGUCACUUUUUCAUGUCGAGAGAAACAGAAGCUGAGAUAACAGACGCCCAGAGUCAUCACCCGGAGGAGGCACGUUGCUUUUCGGACAGCCUCAGCUUCUGCCCUCUUCUUCUUCUUCCUUGGUAGUUUUGAUGUGCUCUGCAUUAAGAGUGUAUGUGUGCGUGUGUAUGUGUGUGUGUUGCGUAGUUUUUGUGAGCUGGUGCCUGAGUUUCAACAUGGAUGCUGAGGAUUUGACACAGUUACUUACUAGAGCUUGUUUUGAUUGGUUGGUUAGGUGGCGCUGGUUGCGACAAACAGGUUAACAGCACGAAUAUUCAGUCCGGGAUGUUUUUCAAAGAAUUCAUCGAGGUACUGCGCUGUUUUUCCCCUCUCUCUCCUCGAGGAAUAUGAGGAAUAUGGGUGAUUAUAUUUUUGCAAAUAGGUUAAAAUAAUCAAUGACGGUGCGGUCUGACCCUCCUCCUAUGCAGUAAGGUAACACAUACAGCAAUUCAAGUGAAGUUACAUAAUAAAUCUGGCUGUUAAUGUCGCAUCAUGUGCGUCUGUAUUAAAAUAGAACCAGCUCUGGACUCUUCUGGUUAACUCUGCUGAAGUUGAUGGAAAGAAUCAGCAUCCGGACUUGGAAGCUGAGGCUGCUGUAUGUUGCUGUCACAUACCACUCCGUAUCUGGUUUUACUUUCAUCAUGUGAGUUGUUUUCACCCACCAGAGCCAUUGGGAUCUGGCGAAACCCUUCCCGAGACACAUUUGUUUCUGCGUAGUUAGGAGAGACAGAGAUGGUGACGCAGUCGCUUCUGGGCUGGACUUUGCUGCAACCGGCUAGUACCUCUCUCUUUCCCUCUCAGUCUGUUUAUCUGUGUGCCUAUCUGUCUGUCUAUCCAUCUCCUGGAGAAAGGAGGGGGUAAGGAGGUCUAAAUGUCAUGGCUCUGGAUCAGAAACAGACAGAGAAGAGGAAGAGAGAGCGAGGGAGGGAAGGAAAGAGAAAAACAUAGGUGGAGAGGAAGCACAGAGGGGUGCUGAGAUGGGCCAAAACAGCGAAAAGUUGUAAACCUUGUUCUUUUUUGUGACUUAGCUUUGGCUUGUCUCCAGUGUACAUGCACUGGACUGGACUUCCUAAAGCUGCUGCAUCACAAGCYUUCAUGCCAAGGCUGCAAUCUCAUUGGAUGGGAGGAGCUUCCCAGGCUUCACAAGCAGCACAGCAGCAUUUCAUUGGCUUAAAACAACAGGCAGAUGACAUUCAACCUCUGAUUGGCUGGGACGCAUUGUUUUCUCACAGUAAGGUUAAGCACUCACUAGAACACUUUUCUGUGAAUACAUGACUUGGUUAUCUCACUGUGGUUCAUUGUCGACAUAUAUUAAUUUUGGAUGCAGAAAACUAAAGAAAUGUCAAUGAUAAAUGCAAUGAAAGUUUGUCCUAUAUACUUAAAUUACAUUAUUCAAGACAUGUGAAGAUGCUCUUCAUUCCAUAUGUAAGAGGAGGAGGAAUAACAACACAAUUUCGUAUCAACGGCUGGAGACGAACAAACUAUCCUCUAUUCUUCCAAAGCGCCAGAGAGUACGGGAUUAAUCUCGUUUGUCUGCAGCAGACUAUGAACCAGACUCCAUAAACCUGAAUCUUAAACCAGCCCGGAGCUCAUGCUUGAUACUAUGGACAAACCCCUGAAUGAAUCUGUGUUUUGCUCAUUAACGUGUAAUCAACGAAAAGAUUCCACUGAAUAUUCCACUCUGAUGAUGGAUUUUACCAGAGGUGCCCCCUUUGGAAGCUGGUUUCAGAUGGUGGCUUAGAGUAUUGUCAUCUGUCUAGCACCAUUUGAAAUCAGUGUUCUUUGGGUGGGAAGUGUUUCAUUCCACUGGCAGAAGGCAGGAGCAACAACGAGCCCGUCACCAUAGAUAUGACGAUGUAAAGAAACACACACAACUCUCUGAGGCUCACUCCUUAAAGAUCGUCAAGUCUCUGAGAUGCAAAUCAUGUCUACCAAGAUGUUUUCCACUUUUCAAGUCCCUUUGUCCUCUCUCCAAGGUUGACUGAUUUCUUUUGGUGUUCAGAGUCCGUUUCUCUUUCUAGCACCAUUUGAAAUCGGUUACAAUGAAGGACAGAUCUCGUCAUACCUUGAGGAGGAAACUCUGCUGCAUUGUGGCCUUUCUUGGAUUGGGUGGAGUGAAACUUGACAUUAAGGCUAUAAAAUAAGAAAAGCUACAUUGAUGUGCACUUGGAAAGGGGUUAUGUUAGAUUUUAACAAGUAUGAAAUAAACUGUCGUGUCACCUAAAUUUUUUAUAUUUGAAGCUAUUCCUCUUUUUAUCCACAAGGUGGCAGUAUGAUAUUGGGGCAUCAAAUGUCCAUCAAGCUUAGCAAACCCCACAUCAAGUCUAGCUAUAGAUAUAGAUUUGAUCAGUGGUGGGAAGUAACGAAGUACAAGUACUUCGUUACUGUACUUAAGUACAGUUUUCGUGUAUCUGUACUUUA